rnacentral:rRNA from 1 species
UGGUGCCAGCAGCCGCGGUAAUUCCAGCUCCAAUAGCGUAUAUUAACGUUGUUGCAGUUAAAAAGCUCGUAGUUGAAGUGAGGGAGUGUGUGAUCAUGAAAGCACACCUGGAAUGUUCACAAUCCUCCCCCCUCCAAUCGGUGUAGUGGGGUAUUCAGUUAUUUCACUACUCCUUUGGUCGUUUACUGUGAGAAAAUUAGAGUGUUCAAAGCGGGCGUUUGUUUGAAUA